rnacentral:rRNA from 1 species
GAUGAACGCUGGCGGCGUGCCUAAUACAUGCAAGUCGAGCGAACAGACGAGGAGCUUGCUCCUCUGACGUUAGCGGCGGACGGGUGAGUAACACGUGGAUACCCUACCUAUGAGACUGAGAUAACUUCGGGAAACCGGAGCUAAUACCGGAUAAUAUAUUGAACCGCAUGGUUCAAUAGUGAAAGACGGUUUUGCUGUCACUUAUAGAUGGAUCCGCGCCGCAUUAGCUAGUUGGUAAGGUAACGGCUUACCAAGGCAACGAUGAGUAGCCGACCUGAGAGGGUGAUCGGCCACACUGGAACUGAGACACGGUCCAGACUCCUACGGGAGGCAGCAGUAGGGAAUCUUGCGCAAUGGGCGAAAGCCUGACGGAGCAACGCCGCGUGAGUGAUGAAGGUCUUCGGAUCGUAAAACUCUGUUAUUAGGGAAGAACCGAUGUGUAAGUAACUAUGCACGUCUUGACGGUACCUGAUCAGAAAGCCACGGCUAACUACGUG